rnacentral:sRNA from 1 species
CUCCGAGCUAAUCAGCAUACAUGGCUGCCCUGUGAGGUCGAAGCACUUUCAAUAUCAGCAGCUGUAAAGCAUUUUAGUCCAUACAUUGUACAGUCGUCACUAAACGCCUGUGUUCUCAACGAUAGUAAGCCAUGUGUGCAGGCCUUCGAGAAAAUGUGCCGUGGCGAAUUUUCUACGAGCCCACGUGUAUCAACAUUCCUGUCAACUGUGACCAGUCAGUUGUUCAACGAGUAACCACCGAGGAUAUAGAGGAGGGGAGAGCCAAUAUGCCAUUUACCACAAGAACCUCGUGGCUUGCCAUCCAACAAGACUGUCCAGACCUGAGAUGGUCACAUGCACACCUUCUGCAAGGCACAAGACCAUCCAAAAAGUUAACAAAUGUUCGGGAUGUCAAGCGUUAUUUACAGCAUGCAGCCAUUGCCAAGGAUGGGUUAUUGGUAGUCAAACAUAAUAUACCAUUCCACCCAACACAGGAGUGCAUUAUCGUUCCUCGCAGCGUUCUCGACGGCCUCCUUACUUCUAUACACAUUUCAUUUAACAAUCCCACUAAUAAAAGUGGUAAAUAGGUUCUUCUUUGCACUUGACAUGGGCAAAGCUAUUAACAACACCUCCGACAAGUGUCAUCAGUGCACUGCAUUGAAAAGUACACCUAAAUUUCAACCAGAACACUCUUUAAGUCAACCACCUGACAAAGUUGGCUAUCUGUUUGCAGUUGAUGCCCUUAAGCGAGAACGCCAACUCGUACUGGUUCUGCGUGAGUACAUAACUUCCUAUACACGGACGUUACUCAUUGAAAAUGAGCGCCAUGAAACACUUCGGGAAGGACUCCUCAUUUUGUGUUUAGAGCUACUACCGGUAGAUGGCCCAUUUGCUGUAAUCCGGACAGACCCUGCACCUGGAUUUAUGCAAAAGUCAACGAAAAACUAUAAGCCAAGCAUCGCAUAUCCAUUGAAGUGGGACGUAUAAAGAUCAUUAAAAAAAAAACCCGUAGCAGAGCGAGCAAUACAGGAACUAGAAACGGAAAUCUUGCGUUAUGAUCCAAUGUGUCGCACAGUUACUCCAUUGUCUUUGUGUUUAAUUUCCUCUCGACUGAAUACACGAAUUAGAAGUAGAGGACUCUCUGCCAAAAAGAUGUAGACCCAUCGUGACCAGUUCUCGCAUGAUCAGAUCCCUGUGGACGAUGAGCUCAUUAAGCUCGAUAAUCACCCGCACAGUCAGGCCUCUAAACAACCCGGACAGAGCAGUGCCCCUGGAUGUCGGAGCAAAAUUGGUGACUU